rnacentral:rRNA from 1 species
GAUGAACGCUGGCGGCGUGCUUAACACAUGCAAGUCGAACGGUGAAGCAGGAGCUUGCUCUUGUGGAUCAGUGGCGAACGGGUGAGUAACACGCGAGCAACCUGCCCCUGACUCUGGGAUAAGCGCUGGAAACGGCGUCUAAUACUGGAUAUGUGAUGUGACCGCAUGGUCUGCAUCUGGAAAGAAUUUCGGUUGGGGAUGGGCUCGCGGCCUAUCAGCUUGUUGGUGAGGUAAUGGCUCACCAAGGCGUCGACGGGUAGCCGGCCUGAGAGGGUGACCGGCCACACUGGGACUGAGACACGGCCCAGACUCCUACGGGAGGCAGCAUUGGGGAAUAUUGCACAAUGGGCGGAAGCCUGAUGCAGCAACGCCGCGUGAGGGAUGACGGCCUUCGGGUUGUAAACCUCUUUUAGCAGUGAAGAAGCGAAAGUGACGGUACCUGCAGAAAAAGCACCGGCUAACUACGUGCCAGCCGCCGCAGUAA